rnacentral:tRNA from 1 species
UGGCUCAAUCGGUAAAGCAUCUGUCUGUUGAACAAAAGGUCGUUGGUUCGAAUCCAAAC